rnacentral:rRNA from 1 species
UACGUAGGGGGCAAGCGUUGUCCGGAUUUAUUGGACGUAAAGAGCGUGUAGGCGGCCAGGGAGGUCCGUUGUGAAAACUCGAGGCUCAACCUCGAGACGCCGAUGGAAACCCCCUGGCUAGAGUCCGGAAGAGGAGAAUGGAAUUCCUGGUGUAGCGGUGAAAUGCGCAGAUAUCAGGAAGAACACCCGUGGCGAAGGCGGCUCUCUGGGACGGUACUGACGCUGAGACGCGAAAGCGUGGGGAGCGAACAGG